rnacentral:rRNA from 1 species
AUAAUGGGUCAGCGACUUAUAUUCUGUAGCAAGGUUAACCGAAUAGGGGAGCCGAAGGGAAACCGAGUCUUAACUGGGCGUUAAGUUGCAGGGUAUAGACCCGAAACCCGGUGAUCUAGCCAUGGGCAGGUUGAAGGUUGGGUAACACUAACUGGAGGACCGAACCGACUAAUGUUGAAAAAUUAGCGGAUGACUUGUGGCUGGGGGUGAAAGGCCAAUCAAACCGGGAGAUAGCUGGUUCUCCCCGAAAGCUAUUUAGGUAGCGCCUCGUGAAUUCAUCUCCGGGGGUAGAGCACUGUUUCGGCAAGGGGGUCAUCCCGACUUACCAACCCGAUGCAAACUGCGAAUACCGGAGAAUGUUAUCACGGGAGACACACGGCGGGUGCUAACGUCCGUCGUGAAGAGGGAAACAACCCAGACCGCCAGCUAAGGUCCCAAAGUCAUGGUUAAGUGGGAAACGAUGUGGGAAGGCCCAGACAGCCAGGAUGUUGGCUUAGAAGCAGCCAUCAUUUAAAGAAAGCGUAAUAGCUCACUGGUCGAGUCGGCCUGCGCGGAAGAUGUAACGGGGCUAAACCAUGCACCGAAGCUGCGGCAGCGACGCUGAUGCGUUGUUGGGUAGGGGAGCGUUCUGUAAGCCUGCGAAGGUGUGCUGUGAGGCAUGCUGGAGGUAU